CCAGAGAACUUUCCAGAGAUGGGAUUGGUGGCCUUCGGGAACUCUGAGACAGGUGCUGCAUGGCUGUCGUCAGCUCGUGUUGUGAAAUGUUGGGUUAAGUCCCGCAACGAGCGCAACCCUUAUCCUUUGUUGCCAGCGGUUAGGCCGGGAACUCAAAGGAGACUGCCAGUGAUAAACUGGAGGAAGGUGGGGAUGACGUCAAGUCAUCAUGGCCCUUACGAGUAGGGCUACACACGUGCUACAAUGGCGCAUACAAAGAGAAGCGACCUCGCGAGAGCAAGCGGACCUCAUAAAGUGCGUCGUAGUCCGGAUUGGAGUCUGCAACUCGACUCCAUGAAGUCGGAAUCGCUAGUAAUCGUGGAUCAGAAUGCCACGGUGAAUACGUUCCCGGGCCUUGUACACACCGCCCGUCACACCAUGGGAGUGGGUUGCAAAAGAAGUAGGUAGCUUAACCUUCGGGAGGGCGCUUACCACUUUGUGAUUCAUGACUGGGGUGAAGUCGUAACAAGGUAAGCGUAGUGCU
rnacentral:rRNA from 1 species